GGGACGAACGCUGGCGGCGUGCCUAAUACAUGCAAGUAGAACGCUGAAGGAGGAGCUUGCUCUUCUGGAUGAGUUGCGAACGGGUGAGUAACGCGUAGGUAACCUGCCUGGUAGCGGGGGAUAACUAUUGGAAACGAUAGCUAAUACCGCAUAAGAGUAGAUGUUGCAUGACAUUUGCUUAAAAGGUGCAAUUGCAUCACUACCAGAUGGACCUGCGUUGUAUUAGCUAGUUGGUGGGGUAACGGCUCACCAAGGCGACGAUACAUAGCCGACCUGAGAGGGUGAUCGGCCACACUGGGACUGAGACACGGCCCAGACUCCUACGGGAGGCAGCAGUAGGGAAUCUUCGGCAAUGGACGGAAGUCUGACCGAGCAACGCCGCGUGAGUGAAGAAGGUUUUCGGAUCGUAAAGCUCUGUUGUAAGAGGAGAACGAGUGUGAGAGUGGAAAGUUCACACUGUGACGGUAUCUUACCAGAAAGGGACGGCUAACUACGUG
rnacentral:rRNA from 1 species